rnacentral:rRNA from 1 species
UACGGGGGGGGCAAGCGUUGUUCGGAAUUACUGGGCGUAAAGGGCCAGUAGGCGGCCAACUAAGUCCGACGUGAAAUCCCCAGGCUUAACCGGGGAACUGCGUCCGAUACUGGAUGACUUGAGUUCGGGAGAGGGAUGCGGAAUUCCAGGUGUAGCGGUGAAAUGCGUAGAUAUCUGGAGGAACACCGGUGGCGAAGGCGGCAUCCUGGACCGACACUGACGCUGAGGAGCGAAAGCCAGGGGAGCAAACGGG